rnacentral:misc_RNA from 1 species
AAGUCGUAACAAGGUUUCCGUAGGUGAACCUGCGGAAGGAUCAUUAGCGAAGCUCGGAAUGCGCGUCCGGUCUGAUGCUGCCCUGCAAGGGGAUGUGCUCGUCUGGAUGCGUGUCCCUUCUCUAUUCCACCCCUUUGUGAACCAAGUGUGCGAGCCGAAGAGAGAUCGGAGGCUCGCAUGCAAACCCUUAACAUACCCCAACGAAGUAUCAGAAUGUACCUUGCGUUAACUCGCACAAAUACAACUUUCAACAACGGAUCUCUUGGCUCUC